AAGCUAGCAUGUCCUCAUGUCUGCUGACCACUUUAUGAGCCACUGCCUGAGCCACUGAGCCAAUGCCACCUGAAGACAGACAGCAGCUCGCCCGCUCUGAGUGCACACCUUCCUGCUCACAGCACUCUGUCAAUCCUACAGAGACAGUGGGUGUAGUCAUAUCUGCCCUAGAGGGACCAGGAUCUUAGCCACAGCCUGUGACUUCUACCCUAGACCCCUCCAAGGGUCUCCAAGCCCCACUUGCCUCUGUCUUCAAGUGUCCACUGUCCUGACCCAAUAGCACUGUCAUCCUUUCCCUGGAGGACCCAGACAGCAAGGGUUCUGUCCUUAUCAACCCAUGGGCACCCUGUCCUAAAAUCCCAGUUUCUCUUCUUUCUGAAAAUCUCUGAUUGUAGAUUGCCAAUGAUUGGAGUCACGGUUUGACAGAUACCUUCGGGACUGCUUUGUCAUUCCUCUUUUGGAAUCUAUGGCUGAGGUGGCAUCAAGAGUCUUCUGAUCUGAGGAAAGCAGUGUGGCGGUAUCUCUCCAACUGUAUGCUCCGGAAGAGUAUGCAGGAGGCUGUCUGAACCUCGAGUGUACCUCCCCAUUCUGAAAUGGUGAAAAGAGAAUCUAUGCGGUGCAGCAGGGUUUGUUGCAGCCCAGGCCCAGGCUGCAUUAAAAGGAAACAAGUCCACAGCAGAGUUAAGAGACAAUUCAGAAAAGAGUUCAAAGAAGAGAUACGUGCUGCUUAUAAAUCAUGUCCAGAAAAAAUAAUAAUGCUGCCAAGAUAACAGCUCAGCAACACAGACCGAAGAGCUUAGGGUUUGAAGAGACCUAGCUGCUUCCGUGCAGGAAGGCCUGGCUGAUGGUGAGAUGGAAAAUGAAGCAGAGAGCUGCAAUCUACAGAGACCAUGACGAUAAAGAGCUGGUAAUGGAUCUGGGAUGGGGGCUUCCGGCCCAAGUAUGGUGCCUGCGCCGGAGCUAGAAGCAGAAUCUAAAUCCAAGUGAGAGCUUGGAGGCCAAGGCCACUACAAGGGAAGCAGCCCACAGGGCAAGAGACUACACUCAGACAGACUGGCUUUUGACAGCAGCACAGAUAGUCUAGAGAGACUCCAAGGACUCCCAGAAACACAGAAUUGGUGCAAAUCAUGCAAGAGGCAAACGUGGACAGUCCCUGUCUGAUGGAGGCUGCUGGCCAGGGGGAUUUGGGAAGAGCUCAAGGGAGGCUGCUGGGGCAGCUGGAAAUGGCCCAACACUGGGAGCCAAGAGGCAAGUCUAGCACCGCAAGUGAGUCCAUGGCCAGACAGGGAGGCAGCUACAGCGCAGUUGCAAAAGAUGCUAAAGGGGCACAGGAAAGGCACCAGGAAUUUGUGCCAUAAAGAAGCAGGAUCCCCAAACAGAAAACAGGCAAAUGAUGUACUGUUAAAGACAAUUGUACCCUGCUCAGCAGUUCCAGAGGGAAAGAAUAGACUCCCCAGGGGAAACAAAGGUCUAGACCAUGCCAUAAGUUUGCGAGACGACAUGGCCUCUGCAGAUGAUGCUGUGUGGGUGUUUAAUUUUGACUAGGGGCACGGCUGAGGUGCCCAGUUAAGGGAAACGCUGGAGGAUGGGGGGGCCUUAGAAUGGGAGACUCCACAUCAAAAUUCUCUUACUCCUUUGGUACAUAUUCUUAGGUGUCGCGACGUCAGGAUCCUGCCAGCAGGUCCUAAACCUGAAAGGACGAGGACAGAGAGACGGGAGGCAGUUUUCUUCUCAUGGUCCUUGCUUUAUUACCGAACCUCUCCUUUUAUACUCUCCAGCUGCCGCCCACACAUUCCGGAAGGAAACCGUUACAUUAGCUAGGCAACAGAUCAGACCACCAGUAGAACUAGCCCGUUGCUAUGGGCGACGGCACGUCCACACUGCUCGGGUGAAUCACAGGUCAAUAUGGCUGUGCUCACGCUGUGUUCCUUUACAAUGCUGUCCAUACUUAGGUGCUGGAAAAAGUUUGACCUUUACAUGUUAAUUAAAAAAAAAAAAAA